rnacentral:lncRNA from 1 species
UGAAUCCAUGAAUUUAUAGGUAAACUCUUUCAACAAUUUGGUAAGGACCAUUGAAGUGACAUGCAUGUUUUUGAAGAGCCCUUUUAAAAGUAUGUUACUGACGAUAAGGUUGUAGUUUAAGGAAUACUAAUUGCCUUCCUAAAAUUCAAUGUCACGGCACUUAACAUUCACAACUUAAUGCAUGUGGUUGGAAACAGUUUGGAAAUUAAGCUU